UUCUUUUGUGUAUAUACCCAGCAGUGGAAUUUCUGAAUCAUAUGGUAACUCUAUUUUUAGUUUUUUGAGGAACUUCCAACUGCUCUGCAUAGUACUAAUUUACAUUCCCACCAACAGUGUACAAGGAUUCCCUUUUCUCCACAGCCUUGCCAGCAUUUCUUAUUGCCUGUCUUUUGGAUGUAUGCCAUUUUAACUAAGGUGAGAUGAUAUAUCAGUGUACUUUUGAUUUACAUUUCUCUGAUGAUUGGUGAUAUUGAGAACCUUUUUAUAAACCUGUUUGCCAUUUGUAUGUCUUCUUUUGAGGAAUGUCUCUUGAGAUCUUUUGCUGAUUUUCUAAUCAGAUUAUUAGAUUUUUCUGAUUAAGUUGAUUGAGCUCCUCAUAUAUAUUCUUGUUAUUAGUCCCUUGUAAGAUGGAUAGUUUGCAAAUAUUUGCUCCCAUUUUUUGGGUUGCCUCUUCUGUUUCCAUUGCCAUGCAGAAGCUUUUUAACUUGAUGUGAUCCCAUCUGUCCAUUUUUGCUUUGGUUGCUUGUGAUUAGGGGGUAUCACUCAAGAAAUCUUUGCUCAGUCCAAUGCCCUGGAGAGUUUCCCCAAAGUUUUCUUUUAGUGGUUUCAUAGUUUGAGGUCUUAGAUUUAUGUCUUUAAUCCAUUUUGAUUUGAUUUUUGAAUCUGGCAAGAGAUGGGGGUUUAGUUUCCUUUUUCUGCAUAUGGAUAUCCAGUUUUCCAAGCAGUAUUUAUUGAAGAAACUGUCCUUUCCCCAGUGUAUGUUCUUGGCACCUUUGUGAAAAAUGAGUUCAAUGUAGAUGUAUGGAUUUGUUUCCGGGUUCUUUAUUCUGUUCUAUUCGUCUGCGACUGUUUUUAUGCCAGUACUAUGGUGUUUUGGCUACUAUAGCUCUCUGUGAUUGAAUUUGAAGUCAGGUAAUGUGAUUCCUCCAGUUUUUGUUGUUGUUGUUGUUUAUAUCCCGCCCCCCCACCACACUCAGGAUAGCUUUGGCUAUUCUGGGUCUUCUGUGGUUCCAUAUAAAUUUUAGGAUUGUUUUCUCUAUUUCUGUGAAGAAUGUAAUUAGUUAUUUUGAUAUGGAUUGCGUUGAGUCUGUAGAAUGCUUUGGGUAUUAUGGACAGUUUAACAAUAUUGUUUCUUCCAAUCAAUGAACAUGGACUAUCUUUCCAUUUUUUGUGUCCCUUUCAAUUUUUUUCAUUAAUGUUUUAUAGUUUUCAUUGUAGAGAUCUUUCACUUUUUUGGUUAAUUCUUGGCAUUCUAUUUUAUUCAUAGCUAUUAUAAAUGGGAUUACUUUUUAUUUUGUUUCUUUUUCUGAUUGUUGUUGGCAUAUAGAAAUGCUACUGCUUUUGUAUGUCGAUGUUGUAUCCUGAAACUUUACUGAAUUUGUUUUUCAGUUCUGAUAGUUUUUUGGUGGAGUUUUUAGGUUUUUCCAAAUAUAACAUUAUAUCAUCUACAAAGAUAAUUUGACUUCCUCCUUUCCAAUUUGGAUGUCCUUUAUUUAUUUCUCUUGUCUGAUUGCUCUACCUAGGAGUUCCAGUAAUCUGUCGUUUUUUAAAUGAAGGCUUUACGAUUUUUCUCUGUGUUCUGGAUACUCUGAUGUUUCACUGUGACCUUUCCAUUUUUAAUUUUUAACUAAUGUAUUAAGUUGAGCCUACAAGUUCAAGGCUGCAGUGAGCUAUGAUUGCACUACUUGCAUUCCAGCCUGGAAAACAGAGCAAGACUCUGUCUCUUAAAAAAAAGAAAAACGAAAAGUAGUUGUCUGUGGUUCCCUAAAAAUAGCUUCAAAACGCUUGGAGUUUUCUGUGUGAUGGGAAUGGUUUUGUUUUACUGAUUAGAUGACUCACUGUGGGCCAUUAGAUAGCUUUAGGAUGGGAACUGCCCUCCAAAAAGACCAGGAAUAGGAUUAGAGGGUUAGAACUUUCAGCCACUUGCCCUCUAGGGCGGGAAAGUUUGGAGAUUGAGUUCAGUUAUGUGACCAAUGAUUUAAUCAAUCAUGCCUAAGUAAUAAAACUCCAAUAAAAACUCUGCUCAUGGAGACUUGGGGGAGCUUCCUGGCCGGAGAAUACAUCAAUGUGCCGAGAGCGUGUCAUAGCCUGACUGUAUUGGGAGAAGCUCUUGUCCUGGACUCUCCCAGACUUUGCCCUAUGUGUAUCCUUUAAAAUAAAACUGUAAUAAUAAGUA
rnacentral:lncRNA from 1 species